CUGGAAUGUUGCAUGGACACGGUGUCUGAGGAGUCAGAGCUCACCAUUCCUACACAUAGGGCCGGAGGAACAACGGCCAUCCGUGCAAGGUACAGUUACCCACCUGCACUGAGUAGUCUGAGUAGGCAGGCAGGGGCUGGUUGUGCUGCCCUUGCGCUGGCCAGGAUCGCACAUCUCUGCCUUGAAGAUGGUUGCUCAACCUCCGUGGAGUCUGUAAGUCACCUUGGGGAGAGGAGAAGGAUGAGCACUUGGCGCCUGGGGCCUGGCUGUUAGGCUGUGCUUCCCUUGCGCGGUGCAGGGCUGCCUGGCCACGUUCUUGCAGCAAAUGGAGGAAGUGGUGCUGGCAGCAGCCCUCGUGCUGGAUCUCCUUGCACUGGGGGGCUGGAUGCAGGUCGCAUACAGCUCCAAGGCGGAGACAACAGGAAAAAUCCAUAUUUGUGGGCUAUCGGUGAAGCGAGACAAACUUUCCAGAGCACUUCACUGUGG
rnacentral:lncRNA from 1 species